rnacentral:tRNA from 5 species
CGGGACGUAGCUCAAUUGGAUAGAGCAUCCCCCUCCUAAGGGGAAGGUUGUGGAUUCGAACUCCACCGUUCCGGCCA